rnacentral:sRNA from 1 species
UAGCCACAAAAAUGGGUAUUUUUUCAGG